rnacentral:lncRNA from 1 species
CCAAAAUAAGCAUGACAGAGUAAUCAUAUUCAUUAAGUCUCUAUCAGCACAUGCCUUUUGAGUCAGACUUAAUUGUUCUUUGAGUCAGACUUAAUACUUCUUUGGACCUAUCUCGAUGAAACUUAAUAUUCAAAGACAUAACGAAUAUUAUCAAGAUAAAUUGAAUACUUGAAGAAAAAUAAGCUUCAAAUUAUUAUCAACAUAAUUUUAACACCUGAAGAAAUAUAAGCUUCAAGUUUUAUACAAUAUCCCCC